rnacentral:rRNA from 1 species
AUUGAACGCUGGCGGCAGGCCUAACACAUGCAAGUCGAGCGGAUGAGUGGAGCUUGCUCCAUGAUUCAGCGGCGGACGGGUGAGUAAUGCCUAGGAAUCUGCCUGGUAGUGGGGGACAACGUUUCGAAAGGAACGCUAAUACCGCAUACGUCCUACGGGAGAAAGCAGGGGACCUUCGGGCCUUGCGCGAUCAGAUGAGCCUAGGUCGGCUUAGCUAGUUGGUGGGGUAAUGGCUCACCAAGGCGACGAUCCGUAACUGGUCUGAGAGGAUGAUCAGUCACACUGGAACUGAGACACGGUCCAGACUCCUACGGGAGGCAGCAGUGGGGAAUAUUGGACAAUGGGCGAAAGCCUGAUCCAGCCAUGCCGCGUGUGUGAAGAAGGUCUUCGGAUUGUAAAGCACUUUAAGUUGGGAGGAAGGGCAGUAAGCUAAUACCUUGCUGUUUUGACGUUACCGACAGAAUAAGCACCGGCUAACUCUGUGCCAGCCGCCGCAGUAAGAC